UUGGUAAGUCAUCUUUUUUAUAUGAUAGACUAAUUAACAACUGUUUGACCCAAAAAAAAAAAAAAAAAAAAGACUAAUUAACAACUGUAUUGGAGAAUUUAAAAAAAAAACUGUGUACAUGCAGCAUCGACAAGGUGAAUGUUACAGGAUACUUCGUAUGGUCAUUGUUGGAUAACUUCGAGUGGCAAGAUGGUUAUAAGAACAGAUUUGGACUAUACUACAUUGAUUUCAAAAAUAACCUCACACGUCAUGAGAAAGAAUCGGGCAAGUAUUACAAACAAUUCCUAAGUGAAGGUGUUCGUCCAUCUGCGAUCAAGAGGGAUGAGCUUUAAGCUAUAUCUUGAGGAUUUGGUUUUCUGUUUGAGUGUUUCUUUCUUAUGUUUUCGUUUGUGAUUGACCAAGAUUGAUGAGGUCUUGGCUAGAAUAAAAAUGUAUUGUUUUAUCGUUUCUCAAUGUCCGCGUGAUUUGACGAGCUCACGAAGGCUUGAUUAUUUAAUAAGGAGUAUUUUUUCUUUAUAAUAAUUAAAACGCAAUGAUUAUGAAAAACUAGAAUAUGAACAUAUUGGACGCGAUUUAUGCUUUUCGUUUGGUUAUUAUGAGAAAGUGAUUUUUUCAAUUUCAUGUUAUCUUUUAAUGCAAACAUCUAGUUUAUCAAAUAGAGGUUAAUUACAACUUAAAAAGAACAUUUCAUCUAUUGUUGCAGCUGCUUUCUUGUUGAUAUGACGACAUUAUUUGUUUCCAAAAUUUGAAAGCGUAUAAUAUUUGUCCUAUAUACCGAACAACAACAUUAAUAAGGAUCAUUUAGUAAUAAUAAUCGUGUAACUCGUGUUAAAUUGGAUGGAAUCUUCAUUUACUAAACGAUUCAUUUCCAGAUUAUAUGCAUUAAUAAUGUUGCUUGUUAAAUAUGAGAAAUAUUGUAUGCUUUUAAAUUUGAAAACAAUCGAAGCCGUCGUCAAUUAUUGGAGUCUGAAAAAUUGGGCCAUAUUAAUUAGAAGCAGUUGAUAAAGUAACAUUUUAAUUAAUAUUAUAUAUUCCACGCGCAAUAUUAUAUGUUCCACGCGCAAUAUUAUAUGUUUUUAAUUUUGAGAUAUAAAUGAAAAGACUAAAGUAGAGAUCAUGUGCAAUGACAUCAUUUCCUAUUUAAAAACAAUUAAACGAAACAAUAACAGUUUAGUCAAUCAUCACUGAAAAAAAAAUGCAACAAUAGGUUGUGUGGCCGGUAGUUAAGACUUAGUGACUUACGAUCGAUAUGAACAUAUAAUCGAAACCACGAUCAUCAGGAUCUUUAAUCAGCGAGGCCCGAUAGUGAUUUUUUUAAAACCUUUGAACAUUCAAAUUUGAAAUGAUAUUCUUGUUUCAAUUAAAAAAAAACCUCUUAAGUAAAAUAAGUAUGCCGCAGGCUACAAUAAAUUCACAUUAAAGAUAUAUAAAUUUUGAAUGAUAAUACUCAAAAAGAAAGAGGAAAAAAAAUUGCAUAAAUUUUGUUCAAACUUAAAUUCAAUCAAUAUUUUUUUAAUUCAUAUAAAAAUGCCUAAUAUUCGGUAAAAAAAAAAUGCAAUGAUAUUGUUUAGCAUGGAGCAGUUGGUAAGAAUAAUAAUCAUAGAUAGUAUAUAUUACAUCAGAAUUUUCUAGCAAAUAAGGUAUUACAUUAGAUGGAAGCUUCAAUUUUUUGUUACUACGAUUGCUUUCCGUUUUUUUUAUUAAUUGGUUUCUACGAUAUCAUAAAGAAGACGAUGAUCGAAAAACUAAUCUAGUCGUUUCGCUGUAGAUAUUAACGAAGACUAUGACGAGUGACGACGGAAGACAAGAUUUUGGUUGUCUAACAAAUAAGCCCUAAUUUAAUUUUUAUUUUUAUAAGUAACAAAAUGACUUAUUUAAGACUACAUCUGAUAGUGUUAAUCGUUAAAGAUGAAAAAUGUUAUAUGCUUUCAAAUUUUGAACACAAAUAAGGUCGCCGCGUCUAUUAUUGGAGUAAACGAACACUCCGGCCUUAUUAGAAGCAGUUACAUACUACCACGUUAUAUGUGGUCUAUGUAUUAAAUGGUCUUUAAGGGCCACAUAUUACAAUACUACAUGAAAGCUAGCUAUUUGUUGUGGAGUGGAGUUACACAAUGAUUUUAUUCAAAGGCACAUGUUAAUAUAUAGAUGCUACACGUUAAACACGCAUGAUAUUAUAUAUAUGUUCCGAAUUCUGAAAAAGUAAAUCAAUAAUACAGCGAUAUUGAUCAUGCGUUAAAUCAUCCUAUAUAUAAAAUUAAUUAACCAAAUAAAUAAUAACACCGUGAGAUAGAUCGUGCAAUGAAUCAUCCUCUAUAUAGUUAAUUAUUUUUGGUUUUUGGGUCAAAUGACAAAAAAAAAAUUUGAGAAAUGAUGAUCAGGAGUAACUAAAUAGAGUAUCGAGAUACAAUCAUGAAUCCAAGAAUUGUGAUCAAUGGUGAGAAUAAUCGUGAGUAGACGGCCUAAGAGAAGCUGCAUAAUGUCUCGAUCGAAUGAUAUUGUGGCUGGUUUGGCUUCCGUUCGAUGCGGUGUUGUAUUUAUUUAUGUCCAAAUCGCAUACAAUGCUUGGAAUAUGAGUUUGAAGAUGCGUUAAGAAUUAUAGGUUGAUUUUGAUUAGACGGCCAUAUCUAAUUGUUUUUACUAAACAAUAGUAGUUGGGUCACUCGUUAGUCGUUACCAAAAUUAAAAUAAAAAAAAAACACACACGUUCGAGUCACGUCGAUAUAUAUCCACUUAUAUAUUGAUAUUUAAUCGAAAAUACGAUCUGGAUCUAUACAGUACAGCACCAAAAAUAAUUAACGAGGCCAGAUUGGCAACUGAGAGAUCAAAUCAGUGAAUGUUAAUCGCUAUAUAAAGAACCCCACUUAGAUGUAUAAGAACCAUCCUAUACACUUCUUCUCCUGAAGGAAACAAAAAACAACUAAAAUCAAAAUGGCUUUGCAAAAGUUUCCUUUCGUGGGGCUACUUCUACUCUUAACCAUCAUCGUCUCUCCGGCAACAGCUGAUGGACCUGUUUGUCCACCGACGACCAAACUAAGUCGGGCAAGUUUCCCUGAAGGUUUUUUAUUUGGCACGGCUACUGCAGCGUAUCAGGUAUAUAAUAUUAUAAGUUUUAUAAACAUUUCUUUACAUUUAUAAAAGUAAAUGUCCUUCAUUAUAUCACACAUCAAACAACGUAUAUAAUAUAAUAGAAAACUAUGGUCAUAUAAUACAAAUAGUAAAGUAGUGGCGUUUCAUAUUAUCAUAUACUAUACUUUUAAGACGAUUUUUGAUACGUAAACGAUAUAGGAUAGAAAUAUAUGGCACAAACAUAUAUAACACUCACCACAAUUAGGGUAUUUUGAUAUUUCUUUUUGUUUUCUUUGAUAGUAAUGUAGUCAAAGGUUUAUCAUGAUAUUUACUAAAUUUUACUGUAUAUAGCAAAUUAACCUAUAUCUUAUAUAUCUUUUCCUAAAUCCAUCAACUAUUUUCGUUAUAUCAUUAGGUUGAAGGUGCAGUAAAUGAAACUUGUCGUGGACCGGCCUUAUGGGAUAUCUACUGUAAGAGAUAUCCAUGUGAGUGUCUCUACAUUUCUUAUCUCUUAAUUGUAUUUUGGAUUACUUUUUCACUAAUAAUAUUAAAAAUCAUUGAUUUUGUUCAUUAAAUUGAAAUUACAGCUAGAUGCAACAACGAUAACGGCGAUGUAGCCGUUGAUUUCUUCCAUCGAUAUAAGGUAAAUAAUUUAGUAUAGAUUGAAGAAAUUAAUUAUCAACGUAUUUAUCAAGUAACUAAUUAAAUUUCCUAUUAUUUUUAUAGUCCAUUGAUUCAUAUUCGUCUUGUAUGAAAAAAAUGCUUAUAGGAGGAUAUUCAACUAAUGAAGAAUCUAAACACAGACGCCUUCAGAAUGUCUAUCGCAUGGCCAAGAAUAUUUCCUCGUGAGUAUAUGUGCUAAAGAUCGAGAUGCACAUUUAGCUUUCUAUUCAAUCACUAAUUUGAUUUACUUUUAAUUGAGAUUGGUGUUUUCAAAAAGGAAAAUCAUUGUUGAAAUAUUAAUGAAGCUAAACAAUAUUAUAUCAGAUGGGAGAAUGGAGAAAGGAAUCAGUCGAGCUGGUGUGCAAUUUUACCACGACCUCAUCGACGAGCUCCUUAGAAAUGGUUAUCUAUUUAAAUGCAUAUACAUAUAUAUAUACAUAUUAAUUUUAACAAAAAAUAUAUACAUAUAUACAGUUAGAUUAAUCAUUUAUAUUCUCUAAACAAUUUCAAUUUAAUAUUGUAGGUAUAGUUCCGUUUGUGACUGUUUUUCACUGGGACACUCCACAAGAUUUAGAAGAUGAGUAUGGCGGUUUUUUAAGUGAAAGGAUUGUGUAAGUUUUUUUGGAUUUUUUUUUUUUGUUUUUUUGUAAAACCAAUCCCAGUUUCUAUAUGCAUAUAAAACCAAUAUACAACGUGAUAAUAUUUUGAAUAUCCUUUUGCAAAAAUGCAGAAAAGAUUUCCGGGAAUAUGCAAAUUUUGUUUUCCAAGAAUAUGGUGGAAAAGUGAAACAUUGGAUCACUUUUAAUGAGCCAUGGGUUUUCUCGCACGCUGGUUAUGACGUAGGCAAGAAAGCACCAGGACGUUGCUCUAAAUACGUCAAAGAAGAAUGCCAAGAGGGACGAUCAGGAUAUGAGGCUUACCUCGUCACUCACAAUCUCCUUAACUCUCACGCAGAAGCUGUUGAGGCUUUCCGACAAUGCGAAAAGGUAUAUCAUAUAUAUAAUAAUAAUUAUGACAAAAAAAAAAUAUAUAAUAAUAAUUUAUCGUCUUUCCGAUUUGAAAAACUGUUUGCUUUGUGUUAUGUUUAUGGCCACAGUGUAAAGGUGGGAAAAUCGGAAUCGCACAUAGUCCGGCUUGGUUCGAACCACACGACCUUGCUGAUUCUCAAGAUGGUGCAUCCAUUAACCGUAUGCUUGACUUUAUUUUGGGAUGGUAAGUAGUUGAUAUCCUAAUAUCAUCAAGUACUAAAUAUGUAUCUUGUGGUUUUAUAUAGUAGUGGAAAAAAAAAUAUAUAUAUAUAUAUAUAGUAUAGAAUAUUUGAAUUUUUUUUCUUUUAUAGGCAUCUAGACACAACUACCUAUGGAGAUUAUCCACAGAUCAUGAAAGACAUUGUUGGACACAGAUUGCCUAAAUUCACUACUGAGCAGAAGGCAAAACUGAAAAACUCUGCCGAUUUCGUUGGGCUCAACUAUUAUACUUCAGUAUUUUCAAACCAUAUCGAGAAGCCAGAUCCUUCUAAACCAAGAUGGAUGCAAGAUUCUCUUGUUAACUGGGAAUGUAAGUUUUUUUUUUUGCCCUUACUUGAAAACCGGACCCAAAAAAAACAGAUGCCAACAAAUCAAAGUGAAAAGGUUUAUCUUUGGUACUAAUAAUUCUAUCUUGCUUUCAGCUAAGAAUGCGCACAAUUAUUCCAUUGGUAGCAAGGUAUGCAUUUAAUUAGUCUAAUAAUGAAUUAUAUAUUUAGAUUAAUAUUAUAAUUUUGUUUAUAACGUAAAAUCUUCACCUUGGUCGUAUAUCAGCCUUUCACCGCUGCACUGCCCGUUUACGCGAGAGGCUUUAGAAGUCUUUUGAAGUACAUCAAGGAUAAAUAUGCUAACCCGGAAAUUAUGAUCAUGGAAAAUGGUAACCAAAAAUUCUGUUAUAUCAUCGUUAAGUACUCCUUUUUGUUCAUUUUUUAAAAAACAAAUGUAAAAAAAAAUUGAUCAUGCAUGCUAUUCGUUUUUUAGGAUAUGGAGAAGAACUUGGGGCAUCAGAUUCAAUUGCAGUUGGCACAGCUGAUCACAACAGGAAAUAUUAUCUUCAGAGGCAUCUUUUAAGUAUGCAAGAAGCUAUCUGGUAAGUCUUAUAUAUUCCUUUUUUAUAUGAUAGACUAGCAAUAUUGUAUUGGAGAGUUAAUAAAAACAUUUGUGUAAUAUAUGCAGCGUCGACAAGGUGAAUGUUACGGGAUACUUUGUAUGGUCAUUGUUGGAUAACUUCGAGUGGCAAGAUGGUUAUAAGAACAGAUUUGGACUAUACUACAUUGAUUUUAAAAAUAACCUCACACGUUAUGAGAAAGAAUCGGGCAAGUAUUACAAACAAUUCCUAAGUGAAG
rnacentral:lncRNA from 1 species